UUGUUUCACAAGCAUGCCACAUCUGGAAACUUUUCAAGUUUUUAAACUAAAAUUUGAAUUUCAAAACACCAAAUCUUCAAAAACCCAAAAAAAUGUAAAGCAUAACAGAAAACUCCAAAAAAUGUACUGUUAUAUUGAAUUUUCAGGUUAAUUUCAAGUUUUAGUGAUUGAAGUGCAGCUUCUAGCUUAGGGUUCGAUUACUGGUUUGUUUCUGAAGCUCCUAGGUUAAUUUCGAGUGUAAUUGGAUUCCAUCAAGGCUGCUUUAGGUCGUUUCAAUAGUUAUUUUUCAUCGGUCAUUAUUCCUGGUUCAAAUUUAGUGCAAGUUGUUUGUUGGUCGUUGAUUUUGCUGUUGAAACUGCAUCUGCGGCUGCGUUUCUAUUUGGCAGACCUCUAUUUCUCCACAUCUUUUAAUUUAAAUCUCCAGGUACACAUUAGAACUAUGUCUUGAUGUAGCAUUGGAGUUAAAAAGAAAUAAAAUUCUCAUCCAAUUGCUCGAUGAAUUGUGUUUGUUUUGGAUUACUAUGUAAUUUAGUAGGUGUUAGGAUGUACUUAUUCAUUGUAGUUCAAAUUCUGAUUUGUAUCUAUAUAUAAAUAUGAACUCGGACUGUUGUAAUUGGACUAUUAAAUUUUGAAUGGCAUUAGCUGCAGUAUGAUGUAGUUUGUUCUGUUUAAACUUUUAGAACUAGAAAAUAGUUUGAUUUGGAAAUCGAUUCCAGGGAUUUGUGAUGUUCACCUGUGUUCGAAUUAGUAGGAGUAGGCACAUAAAUAUCAACUAGAAUGUUAAUUAAUUCAGAGUUGAUAUCAUAUCCAAAUCCAAAUAAGCUGAAAUUGAAUCCAAAACAGGUCAUGAGUUGGUAUUAGCAUGAACACUGCCAGUACUAUAAAAUGGGGUCACGUUUGCUAAUUUACUGGAUGGAAACAUAAUUUGGGUUUUGAUUGCAAGUUUGUAAGUAACAAAAUCAGAUAUUGUUAAGUCUAUUGUUCAACUGAGUGUGAUUAGAGGUAUGGCUUUCUAUAGUUGUUUGUAUCAAUUCAUAACUUGACGACUUUACGUGAGGAAUUCCUUUAAAUCUGAGUGAACCAUGAAAUUGCCCUUCGAUUUUUAGCCUACUGAUUCAUGUAUAUCCAAAUUGAGUCACAAUGGUAAUUUAAUUAGUAGUUUGAUGGACUCAUCAGGACUGUUGAAGCCUGGACGGACUUGGCCAUGGGAAAAUAAUGUGACACCGCUCAAUUGGGUAAAAACUUCUCCAAACUGGGAGCCGGACUCAUACCCCUUAUCCAAAUUUCAGCAUCUUCAUUCUGAGCCCAAUGUUGUGAGCAGAAGCCCAAAGCUGAGCAAUUUGUUUUGGUAAAUAAAACAUGGGCCUAAAUACAGUAGUUCUUAGUUAAAACCAAUUAAUUAGGGCUUAUUUUGGUUUUGUUUUUUUAAAGACAAUUAAAUAGAAAAUCAUAGGUGCUCUAGGUUGGCCUCUAAAUAAAUAAACGAGGUGCGCCCCGUCAAAUAAAAUGCUUAAACUGUGGGGCCCUCUUUAAAUGCUUAUACUAAAAUACUUAG
rnacentral:lncRNA from 1 species